GACGAACGCUGGCGGCGUGCUUAACACAUGCAAGUCGAACGGAAAGGCCCUGCUCUUGUGGGGUGCUCGAGUGGCGAACGGGUGAGUAACACGUGAGUAACCUGCCCUUGACUUUGGGAUAACUUCAGGAAACUGCGGCUAAUAUCGGAUAGGAGCUCCUGCUGCAUGGGGGGGGUUGGAAAGUUUCGGCUGUGGUGGCUGGACUCGCUGCUUAUCAGCUUGUUGGUGGGGUAGUGACUGACGAAGGCUUCGACGGGUAGCCGGCAUGAGAGCGUGACCGGCCACAAUGGGACUGAGAGACGGCGCAGACGCCUACGGGAGGCAGCAGUAGGGAAUAUGGCACAAUGGGCGGAAGCCUGAUGCAGCAACGCCGCGUGCGGAAUGACGGCCUUCGGGUUGUAAACCGCUUUCGACUGUGACGAAGCGUGCGUGACGGUAAUGGGUAAAGAAGCACCGGCUAACUACGUG
rnacentral:rRNA from 1 species